UACUCCAAAAACUGUGAGUUUUUAAUUUAUCUAUUCAAUGUAUGGUUGGGAAGGAAACAAUCAAACAAAUAAAUUUCCCUACCGAUAAAAUAUAUGGAUUUCUGUUCAUAACUCCCUAGACCAAAUAUAUGAGACGUAUUGUUUAAUGAGCACGUAUUGCGGCUAGGGCUCCCGAAGGCGAUUCUAGGCGAUCAUGGAGUAAUCAGCCGGUGCUUCCUCUCCUUGACGGUACAGACAUUCAAAUCCGUUGCUUCUCAAACACUUAUCAUCGUAGUUGCUGUUUCUCCACCUCCUCAAGGCGUCUCUUAGCAUAUUCAACGUUUCGGUAGACUUCUUGUGUCAGGAUACUUUGGUCUUGAUACGUUGUGCUCUAAAGUUUGGUGGAUCUGGUGGAUCUAAACCCAAAUGGCGAUGAGUAUGGCGAAUCCUUUGUAGAUCUCCAUUGAGAUCUUUGAGACUCGGCGGUCCGACGCUGUUAUUCUUCACUGUCCUCCUCUGUUACUCGCUUGUACCAGAUCGAUCAUCUCUGUUUUCAUCAUUGUCUCUUGCUUUCUGUUAAAUGGCGUCCUUGCGUUAUGAUGGUUGAGAGUCGUUUUGGUAAGAACCCGCUAGUUCUGAUCUCUUGAUCAUUACGUUUUCUGUCUCGGGCUUCAAUUACGGUGGGAUCGCUCCUUGGUGUAUCCGUUUCCCUGCUCACAAUCUCACGACGGCCAACGUCAUAGCGUAACACAUUACCAGACCUGAAUCAGCAUUCUAAGGUGGAUCAUUUUUGCUAGUGCUUAUUAACGUACGGUCUUUGUGGAUACAUCAUCGGAGGAUCAUUGCUUCUCCUUUCAACUGAAACCAAGCUCCUUCCUUCGUACAUGAAUCAUCUGUGUUAAUACGGGGGUGGUGAUGAGAUUACGUUCUCAAUAAUAUAUGUUAGCCUUUGCUACAUAUCUUUGGUCUUAACAUUAAGAACCUACUUUGCUAUUGAGCUUGCGAGUUAUUAGCCUUUGAUAUAGCUCUGCUUUGGGGCAAUUCUUUUUCUUAAAAGAAAAUGAAAGACUUGCUCUAAUCUGUGUUACUAAGCAUUGUUUAUGAGUUUAUAUUAUAAAGAUAAGUUCAUUGAA